UACGGAGGGGGCUAGCGUUGUUCGGAAUUACUGGGCGUAAAGCGCACGUAGGCGGCUUUGUAAGUCAGGGGUGAAAGCCUGGAGCUCAACUCCAGAACUGCCUUUGAGACUGCAUCGCUUGAAUCCGGGAGAGGUGAGUGGAAUUCCGAGUGUAGAGGUGAAAUUCGUAGAUAUUCGGAAGAACACCAGUGGCGAAGGCGGCUCACUGGACCGGAAUUGACGCUGAGGUGCGAAAGCGUGGGGAGCAAACGGG
rnacentral:rRNA from 1 species